CUCCUGUAGACCACAAGUAUAAUUUGGUUUCUUAAGCAGUAUUCAUUUGUGUUUAUUUAUUUAAUAAUAUCUAUUUAUCAUGUAGCUUGUUUUAGUCUUUUUUUUGUAUGACAACAUAUGAUAUCCUGGUUGAAUUUUUUUCUAUUCUAUAGCUUACAUAUUUUUCUUUUUGGAUUUGUAGAAUCACAAUUACCUACAAAAUCUACUGUAACUGUGAAAACAGAGGUUAACAAAAACAAUAUGGUUCAAGAUGAUGACCUCACUUCCUUGCUCAAGCUUACUAGAAAAGAUAAUGAUGAAGUUGUUCGCAUACUAGCAGCAAAGGCAAUUGCCAAUUUAUCCAUGAAUGGAAAUUGAUGAACCUGCAUUGAAGGAGGACAUUUGUUUAUUUUGUGCUUUGUAG